CAGGAUUAGAUACCNUGGUAGUCCACGCCCUAAACGAUGUCGAUUAGCUGUUGGGCAACUUGAUUGCUUAGUAGCGUAGCUAACGCGUGAAAUCGACCGCCUGGGGAGUACGGUCGCAAGAUUAAAACUCAAAGGAAUUGACGGGGACCCGCACAAGCGGUGGAUGAUGUGGAUUAAUUCGAUGCAACGCGAAGAACCUUACCUGGUCUUGACAUGUACGGAAGAACUCAGAGACGAGUUUGUGCCUUCGGGAGCCGUAACACAGGUGCUGCAUGGCUGUCGUCAGCUCGUGUCGUGAGAUGUUGGGUUAAGUCCCGCAACGAGCGCAACCCUUGUCAUUAGUUGCCAUCAUUUAGUUGGGCACUCUAAUGAGACUGCCGGUGACAAACCGGAGGAAGGUGGGGAUGACGUCAAGUCCUCAUGGCUCUUAUGACCAGGGCUUCACACGUCAUACAAUGGUCGGUACAGAGGGUAGCCAAGCCGCGAGGUGGAGCCAAUCCCAGAAAACCGAUCGUAGUCCGGAUUGCACUCUGCAACUCGAGUGCAUGAAGUCGGAAUCGCUAGUAAUCGCGGGUCAGCAUACUGCGGUGAAUACGUUCCCGGGUCUUGUACACACCGCCCGUCACACCAUGGGAGUGGGGGAUACCAGAAGUAGGUAGGGUAACCG
rnacentral:rRNA from 1 species